rnacentral:rRNA from 1 species
UACGUAGGGUGCAAGCGUUGUCCGGAAUUAUUGGGCGUAAAGAGCUCGUAGGCGGUUUGUUGCGUCGGCUGUGAAAUCCCGAGGCUCAACCUCGGGUCUGCAGUCGAUACGAGCAAACUAGAGUGUUGCAGGGGAGACUGGAAUUCCUGGUGUAGCGGUGAAAUGCGUAGAGAUCAUGAGGAAGACCAGUGGCGAAGGCGGGUCUCUGGACAGUUCCUGACAGCUGAGGCAACGGAAGGUCAGGGGAGCAAACGGG